GCUCAUAAGCCCAUCUCUCUCUCACUCUCACUCUCACUCUCACUCUCUGGGUCAUGGAUAAUAUUAAGGAGCAACUUUCAAAUAAUAGCUUAUUGGGAAUUCUUAGGCUGUGCAUUUCAAUCCCUUUUCUUUCAACGAAGGCUUGUUUACUGAUAUUCUUUGUCUCAAUUUUAUGUCCACCACUUUUAUUUUGCGCCUAUGUUGCUUUUAAGUGUUUAUUUGGUACUCUUUAUCACCAAAUAUUGAACAAAGAGAUAGUACUAACUCUUCUCCUGCCGAUCAUCCACCAAAUAGUUUUCCUUGUGUUCACUCUUGUGCCCUCCACCAUUGCUAUGUUCCUCACCAUAGCUUCUGUCUACACUUCUGAACCAAUACCCUUCUUCAGCUUCUUCCGAGCCAUAUUCUACAUUUUUCUGCACUACUUUGACACCUUUUUCUUGGUCAUGGCUUUCGUGAGUCUCUACCGGGCAUUAUUAAUCAAUACUAUAUGUCUUUCCAUAUUGGCUUACCACACAAACAACCCUCUUCUCCUUUUGGUCGCUUGCAUCGUUUUGUUUCUGUUCAUAGCUCUUCAAUUCUUCACUGAACACUGGUUGCUUGCUUCUUUUGUAUCAAUGUUUGAAGGGAUUCAUGGGAUGGCAGCCCUUAAAAGGAGUAGAGAACUGAUCAAGGGGCGUACAGACAUUUUGGUAGUCUUGUUAUUUUUUUUGGUUUGCGAAUGGAUUCAGCUUCAACAAGAAAUAUCUAUGUUGGGAGAUAAAUUGAAUUCUGGGAGUAUUGAUUGGAGAGUAAAAUUGUCUGCUGUGCCAACAUUUGGUUUGUUAUUUCCAGUGAUUUUGUUUGGAAUUUCAGCUCAAACUGUCUUAUAUUUUGUCUCCAACCAAGGGAUUGACAAGGAUGCUUUGUCUAAACGACUUGGUGGGUACCUUUGAUCAACAUGCGCCAACUAUCAGUAAUGACAUUGAGACAUGAUAUCCUAGGAAUCCUCAAACAGUAGCUUACUUGCAGUUACUAGAACUUCCUUAUCUUCAAAGAGCUUCUACUCGUCCUCGUUUGAAGAAGAGGUAUCACAGCCGUGUCGAAAGGGUUAGAGAGUAUCUUGAGACGAUCAAGGACUUUAAUGAACUCAUCUCUCCUCAAUCUCUUUUUCUACAUUUCCUUGGACUAGAGCCUUUUAAGCACAUUUGAAGGAACAUUGAAAUUGUUAAGAAGAGGAUGACAACGAGAUUCAGUAAAUCUAAAUUGGUCAAGGUCCAAGAGAAGAGGGCCAAAUGAGGUUUGACAGGUGGCCUUUUGAUGAGAAAACGUCAGAGGGACACGGAGACUCCUAAGGAUGAUCCUAUGUUGACUUCGCCCAUUGCCAAAUCUGUUCCCCAAUGUCCAGCCCCACCUACUUCUUUUCUGGAGCUGAUUGCUUCUAUUGAUGGUGGUUCCAAACCCAAGGGCAAGUACAAAGCCCUUCCGGGUUCUUUCUAGGACGAUGCAGGAAUUGCAAUGCUUAUAGCCCAUGAGGCUAUAUCUAUUGAUGAUCUUUCUCCCUUAGGGGUGAGGCCAUCUCACGAGCUAAUGUCAUCCUACAUGCACAAGGUUAUGCAGGUGUUAGGUGAAUCCUUGUACAUUUUGGGAAAGUACUUGGAUUAUGAGGAGAAGUAUGUGAAGGCCAAAUCCAAGGUGGAAUCUCUUUCUGCUGGGAAUGAGUCGCUCAAGGGUCAAAUCUCUGCCCUUGUUGACGAGGACAAAAAGGACAAGGAACGCCUAAAGACCCUAGAGAAGAGCAUCGACACUGAGUAAGCUUUUUCAAAGCUGAAGGACAAGCAAAUUGACGAGGCUCUCUUGAAAGUCGAGAAGGCUGGCUUAGAGGCAGUGGAGAAAUUCAAAGCUUCAGACGAGUAUUCGGAUAAGCUCUGUGACUAUUAUGUGGAAGGUUUCAACCUUCUUUAUAAUUAUUUGGUCAAACAUCACCCAGAGUUGGACUUCUCUAACCUUGAUAUGGAGGCUGUUGAGACCUAUUGGCUGAUUGUCAGUCCACAAAAGUGGUUAGAGAAGGUGGAGAAGUUGCUGCUGUUGACGAAGCUGUUGAUGUUGAUCCAUCAUCUUUUGUUUUACCUUAGAUUUAUUAUUAUUUUUUUUUUUGGUAAGAUAAAAACACUGUUAUUUUUGGGGCUCGCUGUUUUGAGCACAUCUACUUGUUUUUUUUUUUCUUUUGAACAAUCUCUUGGGCUCGUCUAUUUCGAGCAUAUAAUCUAUGAAUAUUUUUCUCCUUGAAUUUGUUUGGCAACUGCUUUUAUGAUGAUGUUGUUGCAUGUU